CUGAGCACUGCACACAUCCCGCAUGUCCCUGUCGGUCGUGAACGCACCCCCGCGCACUGCCCCGCUAACUUAUGAAACCCCGACCAAUCUGUCCCCAAGAUUAGGAGGAUCUGCAGGAGCUCCAGUCUUCGCCAGAUUAUUCUCGCUUCUAGAGUGCCUACCUCCUGUUGCCGGAAUUGGCUACACGUUUGGAGCCUUCCGUUUCUCCCCCUGCCUGCUCGCCCCACCACGGACUCUAGCCUCAGCAUACAGCCAGCACCCUCCUUUUCUAUCUGGACUCCCCUCUACUACAGUAAGGACUACCAACCUCACCACUGGAUUCAUCAUUCCUUUCAACCCUCCCGUCUUUUUCUUUAUCUAGUGCCCCUCCUUUCCUGAGGUUCCUCAUCAAAAAA